rnacentral:rRNA from 1 species
AUGGACCCGAUGAUCGGCGUCAGCAGGAGCGACAUGCUCGCCGGCUUGGAGCGCGACGGCGCGGACCCCGAGACGCUGGACGUCGGCACAAACCUGCUGCUCUACUUCGUGUACCACUACCUCCCGGACCCGCCCGUCUCCCUCACCGCACUCCUCUCGCUCACCGGCGCGUCGUGGGUCCCCGACGGCGUCGACCGCAUCAGCCGCCUCCCCGAUGUGGUCCUCCGCGAUAUCAUCUCCCGCCUCCCCGCCAAGGACGCCGCGCGCACCGCCGCCCUCGCCUCGCGCUGGCGCCCCCUCUGGCGCUCGGUGCCCCUCACUCUCGUCGACAGCCACCUGCUUCCGGACGGCGGCGCGCGCGGGCAGCUCAUCAUCGGCGCUCCCUCUCCCCGCGCCGUCACCGCCGCGGUGUCCCGCGUCCUCGCGGCGCACCCGGGGCCCUUCCGCUGCCUCCACCUCACCCGCACCACCAUGGAGGAGCACCGGGGCGAGAUGUCGCGCUGGCUCGACACCAUCCUCGCCAAGGGAGUCCAAGAGCUCGUCUUUGUCAACCGCCCUUGGCCGAUUGACCUGCGCCUCCCCGCCUCGAUCUUCCGCUGCGCCUCUCUCACCCGCCUCUAUCUCGGCGUCUGGAGGCUGCCGGACACGGCCGCCGUGCCGCGCGGCGCCAGAUUCCCCAACCUCCUGGAGCUUGGCCUCUGCAUGACUGUCAUGGAGGACCGAGAUCUGGCAUUCAUGCUUGAAAGAAGCCCCGUUCUGGAGUUCCUCGUCCUCAUGGGGAGCCAGAGCGGACUGCGCCUCCGCCUCGUCAGCCCAAGCCUGCGGUGCCUUCAGCUGGGCUUUACCUACUUGGAGGACAUCGACGUGGUGGAUGCACCUCGCCUGGAGAGGCUCUUCCAGCGGGAUAGUCUUCCCGAGAGCAAGCUCGCUGAUACUGCCUCAUGCCUCUCUUCCAAGAUCAAGAUUGGGCGUGCACCUAACCUGCGUGUGCUGGGAUAUCUUCAGCCAGGAGAGCAACAGUUGGUGGUUGGGAGCAAGGAGAACACUGUCCCUAGUGUGCAGAUUUUGGCCAUGGAGGUGCAGUUCGGUGUCCGCAAUGCAGUCAAGAAAGUGCCUGGCUUCCUCAGAUGCUUCCCUAACCUGGAGACGCUCCAUGUCCAUUCCACCGUAGAUGAAGACUCUACUGGCAAGGUCAACAUCAAGUUCUGGCAGGAGGGCGGCCCUAUUAAAUGUGUUGUGCAGAGCAUGAAGAAGGUGUUCUUCUAUGAGUUCUGUGGGUCGAGAAGCGAGGUUGUUUUCCUCAAGUUCAUUGCGGAGAGAGGUCGGGCGCUGGAGCAGAUGGUUGUCGUGGUGGCCAGUGAAUGUUUCUCGUCUGGGGGUAAUGUCAGUGCCAAACUGAAGCCUCUGAUCAGUGCAAAAUGGUUGAGUAAAGCUUGCAAGCUACAGCUCUUCAAGAGUCCAUGCGACAAGGUGUCAGGUCCACUUCACUGCCACCAGCUAGCUUCUGAUUUUAAGUUUGCUGAUCCUUUUGAUCUCAGGUACUACUAUGAAGCAGAAGAGAUCCUUGUAAGUUAA